UACGGCGGGUGCGAGCGUUAUCCGGAUUCACUGGGUUUAAAGGGUGCGUAGGUGGGAAUGUAAGUCAGUGGUGAAAUCUCUGAGCUUAACUCAGAAACUGCCAUUGAUACUAUGUUUCUUGAAUUUUCUGGAGGUCAGCGGAAUAUGUCAUGUAGCGGUGAAAUGCUUAGAUAUGACAUAGAACACCAAUUGCGAAGGCAGCUGGCUACAGGGAUAUUGACACUGAGGCACGAAAGCGUGGGGAUCAAACAGG
rnacentral:rRNA from 1 species